AGCGAACGCUGGCGGCAGGCUUAACACAUGCAAGUCGAGCGGGCACUUCGGUGUCAGCGGCAGACGGGUGAGUAACACGUGGGAACGUACCCUUUGGUUCGGAAUAACGCUGGGAAACUAGCGCUAAUACCGGAUACGCCCUUUUGGGGAAAGGCUUGCUGCCGAAGGAUCGGCCCGCGUCUGAUUAGCUGGUUGGUGGGGUAAUGGCCUACCAAGGCGACGAUCAGUAGCUGGUCUGAGAGGAGGAUCAGCCACACUGGGAAUGAGACACGGCCCAGACUCCUACGGGAGGCAGCAGUGGGGAAUAUUGGACAAGGGGCGCAAGCGUGAUCCAGCCAUGCCGCGUGAGUGAUGAAGGCCUUAGGGUUGUAAAGCUCUUUUGUCCGGGACGAUAAUGACGGUACCGGAAGAAUAAGCCCCGGCUAACUUCGUG
rnacentral:rRNA from 1 species